GAUGAACGCUGGCGGCGUGCCUAAUACAUGCAAGUCGAGCGAACAGACCAGGAGCUUGCUCCUCUGACGUUAGCGGCGGACGGGUGAGUAACACGUGGAUAACCUACCUAUAAGACUGGGAUAACUUCGGGAAACCGGAGCUAAUACCGGAUAAUAUAUUGAACCGCAUGGUUUAAUAGUGAAAGACGGUUUUGCUGUCACUUAUAGAUGGAUCCGCGCCGCAUUAGCUAGUUGGUAAGGUAACGGCUUACCAAGGCAACGAUGCGUAGCCGACGUGAGAGGGUGAUCGGCCACACUGGAAGUGAGACACGGUCCAGACUCCGACGGGAGGCAGCAGUAGGGAAUCUUCCGCAAUGGGCGAAAGCCUGACGGAGCAACGCCGCGUGAGUGAUGAAGGUCUUCGGAUCGUAAAACUCUGUUAUUAGGGAAGAACAAAUGUGUAAGUAACUAUGCACGUCUUGACGGUACCUAAUCAAAAAGCCACGGCUAACUACGUG
rnacentral:rRNA from 1 species